GUGGGGAAUAUUGGACAAUGGGCGCAAGCCUGAUCCAGCCAUACCGCGUGGGUGAAGAAGGCCUUCGGGUUGUAAAGCCCUUUUGUUGGGAAAGAAAUCCAGCCGGCUAAUACCUGGUUGGGAUGACGGUACCCAAAGAAUAAGCACCGGCUAACUUCGUGCCAGCAGCCGCGGUAAUACGAAGGGUGCAAGCGUUACUCGGAAUUACUGGGCGUAAAGCGUGCGUAGGUGGUUAUUUAAGUCCGUUGUGAAAGCCCUGGGCUCAACCUGGGAACUGCAGUGGAUACUGGAUGACUAGAAUGUGGUAGAGGGUAGCGGAAUUCCUGGUGUAGCAGUGAAAUGCGUAGAGAUCAGGAGGAACAUCCAUGGCGAAGGCAGCUACCUGGACCAACAUUGACACUGAGGCACGAAAGCGUGGGGAGCAA
rnacentral:rRNA from 2 species